rnacentral:rRNA from 1 species
GGGUGAGUAACACGUGGGUAACCUGCCCAAGAGACUGGGAUAACCCCUGGAAACAGAUGCUAAUACCGGAUAACAACACUAGACGCAUGUCUAGAGUUUGAAAGAUGGUUCUGCUAUCACUCUUGGAUGGACCUGCGGUGCAUUAGCUAGUUGGUAAGGUAACGGCUUACCAAGGCAAUGAUGCAUAGCCGAGUUGAGAGACUGAUCGGCCACAUUGGGACUGAGACACGGCCCAAACUCCUACGGGAGGCAGCAGUAGGGAAUCUUCCACAAUGGACGAAAGUCUGAUGGAGCAACGCCGCGUGAGUGAAGAAGGGUUUCGGCUCGUAAAGCUCUGUUGGUAGUGAAGAAAGAUAGAGGUAGUAACUGGCCUUUAUUUGACGGUAAUUACUUAGAAAGUCACGGCUAACUACGCGCCAGCAGCCGCGGUAAUACGUAGGUGGCAAGCGUUGUCCGGAUUUAUUGGGCGUAAAGCGAGUGCAGGCGGUUCAAUAAGUCUGAUGUGAAAGCCUUCGGCUCAACCGGAGAAUUGCAUCAGAAACUGUUGAACUUGAGUGCAGAAGAGGAGAGUGGAACUCCAUGUGUAGCGGUGGAAUGCGUAGAUAUAUGGAAGAACACCAGUGGCGAAGGCGGCUCUCUGGUCUGCAACUGACGCUGAGGCUCGAAAGCAUGGGUAGCGAACAGGAUUAGAUACCCUGGUAGCCCAUGCCGUAA